GAUGAACGCUGGCGGCGUGCCUAAUACAUGCAAGUCGAGCGAACAGAUAAGGAGCUUGCUCCUUUGACGUUAGCGGCGGACGGGUGAGUAACACGUGGGUAACCUACCUAUAAGACUGGGAUAACUUCGGGAAACCGGAGCUAAUACCGGAUAAUAUUUCGAACCGCAUGGUUCGAUAGUGAAAGAUGGUUUUGCUAUCACUUAUAGAUGGACCCGCGCCGUAUUAGCUAGUUGGUAAGGUAACGGCUUACCAAGGCGACGAUACGUAGCCGACCUGAGAGGGUGAUCGGCCACACUGGAACUGAGACACGGUCCAGACUCCUACGGGAGGCAGCAGUAGGGAAUCUUCCGCAAUGGGCGAAAGCCUGACGGAGCAACGCCGCGUGAGUGAUGAAGGUCUUCGGAUCGUAAAACUCUGUUAUUAGGGAAGAACAUACGUGUAAGUAACUGUGCACGUCUUGACGGUACCUAAUCAGAAAGCCACGGCUAACUACGUGCCAGCAGCCGCGGUAAUACGUAGGUGGCAAGCGUUAUCCGGAAUUAUUGGGCGUAAAGCGCGCGUAGGCGGUUUUUUAAGUCUGGUGUGAAAGCCCACGGCUCAACCGUGGAGGGUCAUUGGAAACUGGAAAACUUGAGUGCAGAAGAGGAAAGUGGAAUUCCAUGUGUAGCGGUGAAAUGCGCAGAGAUAUGGAGGAACACCAGUGGCGAAGGCGACUUUCUGGUCUGUAACUGACGCUGAUGUGCGAAAGCGUGGGGAUCAAACAGGAUUAGAUACCCUGGUAGUCCACGCCGUAAACGAUGAGUGCUAAGUGUUAGGGGGUUUCCGCCCCUUAGUGCUGCAGCUAACGCAUUAAGCACUCCGCCUGGGGAGUACGACCGCAAGGUUGAAACUCAAAGGAAUUGACGGGGACCCGCACAAGCGGUGGAGCAUGUGGUUUAAUUCGAAGCAACGCGAAGAACCUUACCAAAUCUUGACAUCCUUUGACAACUCUAGAGAUAGAGCUUUCCCCUUCGGGGGACAAAGUGACAGGUGGUGCAUGGUUGUCGUCAGCUCGUGUCGUGAGAUGUUGGGUUAAGUCCCGCAACGAGCGCAACCCUUAAGCUUAGUUGCCAUCAUUAAGUUGGGCACUCUAAGUUGACUGCCGGUGACAAACCGGAGGAAGGUGGGGAUGACGUCAAAUCAUCAUGCCCCUUAUGAUUUGGGCUACACACGUGCUACAAUGGACAAUACAAAGGGCAGCGAAACCGCGAGGUCAAGCAAAUCCCAUAAAGUUGUUCUCAGUUCGGAUUGUAGUCUGCAACUCGACUACAUGAAGCUGGAAUCGCUAGUAAUCGUAGAUCAGCAUGCUACCGUGAAUACGUUCCCGGGUCU
rnacentral:rRNA from 1 species